rnacentral:lncRNA from 1 species
CAAAGAUCUGGAAACUAUGGUUAUGAAUUAUAUAAUAAUUAUGGACUUAAAAUGAACUCGAAUGAAAUCUGAGGACUCGACUCUGGAUUCUGAAACUGUCUCGAUGAAAAUAUUCAAUGACUUGUGAGCAAGGAUCUCACGCCUAUGCUCUCUAGUAAGUUGAACAUCAUCGACUAUUUUGGAAUGAAGGAAUUGUAGAAAUGUUUCGUCUCUUCUAACUAUGACAUUUCUUCAGUUUAAUGUGUUUUUGAGGUACUCGUGUAUUGAGCUUCAACAAGAGUUAGUUGGGUAUGGACUAAUUCGUCUUAUUGAAGAGGAGUCAAGUAUCUACUUGUUACAAAUUUUGUAAUAUAUCAUAGAUGGAUUACAUAAUUUAUUUGAACCUAUGAAAGCUCUGUAAUGAAAACCUUACUAAGAAAAAGUUCUUAAAUCAACCGAUUACUUAAUAGUUUUUAAGAAGAUAAUAUUAAUGACGAAUAGAGCCAUUUAUGAUAUGUUUCCAUGAGUUCACUAUUUGAGGAUCAAAGAGCUAAUAUGUAUUAUUUAUUUUGAUGAAUAUUGUUGAAUUAGGAGCUCAAUUUGUAAUUUUUUUGAUCAGCCACUUCCUUGCCUAUUGAAUAUUAAGAGUUAUUGGAAGCUUCUAUGGGCUGUAAAUAAAAUCUGCAAUUGGA